ensembl:lncRNA
UUUAACUAUGAAGCAUUGAAGAAAAAGAACUUUGUUUUUAAUGGGAAUUAGUGUUUUACUACUACACUACAUUCAUAGCUCACAAAGGAUUUUAAUUUUCAAGCUGGGAAACAUGUUAUUAAGUAUAGUUUUUCAUUUUUUACAUGUCAGAUUCCCUACAAUGUUUUUGUCAUACAGAUUAUCUUUAAAAUGAAGUGUAGCUGAAUCACUUGAGCUGGAGUUAGUAAUCAAUUCUUUAAGAUCUGAGACUUCAUUACCCGAAAAUAACCACCCAGUGACUUGCCCUUUAAGUAUUAGCCCCAGAGAACUGUCAGAUUUGUUUUUUUCCUUCUUGCAGAUGGCUUGGUCAGAGAUUUUUUUAUAUGUCAGUGAAAAUCCACUUCCCCAGAGAUAACAUGUUGAUUCAGGUUGCUUUUGAUACUUUGGCUGCCACUUUGGUUAGACUGAGUGGAAAUCCUUGAUUUAGCACAUACUACUAAAUGUGAAAGCAGAAAGUAUAUUCUGAAAGGUUUUGGUAGCUUCAAGCACUGAGGUAUGGGGACCCAUGAGGUUACAUGUAAACCUUAAAUGAAUGUCAAGUGCAGAUUGUGUGAGGGUCAAAAAUUAUCUGCUUUUCGUGAUUGGUUGGGGUAGGGGAGUAAGGUAAGGAUUCUGGGAUUCUUGUGUGCCCCACCCCCUAAAAAAGGUUCAAGCAAGGAUGCAGCAUCCCCCUCCCCCCCAAAAAAAUGCCAUAGAUGCCUUAAUUCUAAAGUUUUAAUGUGGAAUUCAGCAGCAUGUCAGUCCAGUGACUUCUGGGGAAACUACCAGAGGUGCUGCUGAGACAAAGGCAAGGGAUUUCGCUUAAUUGAAUUAUUUUUUAAAAUUGUAGGUGAUAAUGCUUGGUAAGCUGAGGAAAUUAAUAGUGAGGCACUGAGUCUGAAGUGAGAGUACUAGGUAGUUUACUCUUUUUCUGAGUCCUAGCACCCUUAACCAGAGUAAUUGCUGUAGCUGACCAUGAUUUGACUUGGGCAUUAUAACCUGAGUAAAGUCAGGAGAAGUUGAUAAGUCCUCUGCAGACAUUGCAAUUUUCUUGUGCCUCAAAUAAUUAGGAUUCUUACAGACUAAGUCUGUGGUAUAUGUAUGCUAAGGAAAAGCAAAUGGGAAACUGAUCAUAAUGUGUGAAGGCAUGGGUCUGGUCAUUAAAGGAACAUUACAUUGUACCUAGAGCUUUUUAGAGUUUGAAAGGGAUAUAGUGUAUUUUAUAAUCUCAUUCAGUCUUAAUUUGCUUUUUUAUGGCUUGUAUUGUCCCAUAUAUCAAUUCACUACCUCCUAACAAGUUUAAUUGCAUUGUUAUAGUUGCUCCUAACCCUUUUAAUAUGUUAAAAGUUUGGGUUUAGUCUGUUGGAAUUAAUUCCAGUUGGAUACAGUAAAUCUUUGAACAGGUGGUGUUAACUUGAAAGUAUGUACUUCUGGUUGAAACACCUGUAGAUUAGGGUUAUUGUUGUUAUUGGGGGUCAAAAAUGACAGUGUUUUGUCAACCUAAUUAUAUGUUUUAAGUGAAAGCACUAGAAAUUAAUAAGGAGUUGUUCUUGUCCAUCAAAGCAAGAUGAUGGAGGCACAUGUCGUAACCUCUAAAAAAUUCACUUUUGGGUGAUACUGGGUAUUGAACCCAGGACCCCAUAAAAGGCAUUGCCUCAGCAAAAACAGAACUGUGAGCAUUGAUGUCUCCUGUACUCAGGGUUACUUGUUCUAGUGUUUUUAGCCACUGAGUGUAUUAAAUAUUUUUUAACUUAGCCUGUAAU